rnacentral:lncRNA from 1 species
CCUACUCUAGGGAGUGGAAGGUCAGGUCUCAUGUGAAAAGGAAGGUAAUCUGGACCAGUCAUAAAAUGUUAUGCUGAAAGCCUUAGGAUAAGUAGAUCACUCCUAAUACCUCUUUUCCUCUCCUAAUCUCUCUUGCAGUAACCUUAGCCAGUACUUGUCUGAGUUACUGAGUUUUAAGCCAGAUGUUAAUUCUACAUUUAGAGUAAAUGUUAUCUGAGAAGAAAUUCUUGCAGCUAGCAGCCAUGAGCUUGUGGGAGGAAACGGAGCUGGUGUUUACUGUCUGUUUUCUUUUUCCUUGCUUGAAGACAAAGGACAGAAAGUGCUACCAUCACUCAUAACAUACGCCAUCAGAAGGAUAAGAGAUGCCUUUAGAGAAAACAAGAACAUUGCGGAUUCUGAAAAAAUAGAAGAACUACUGAAUAAAGCCAAAGCAAACCUCCAGAUUAUUCAACGGCAGGUAUGUUUUUCUCAUUUUUAUAGGAGUUGUCCAUUGCUUAUUUAAGUGCUUUAUGCCACCAGAGAUGGAAAAAAAAAAAGAUCCUUGCUUAAAACAUAUCUAGGUGAAUAUCAGUUUUUGUCUGACUUUAUUUGUCCUUCCAUCAUAGGUUCAGAAGGGUGACACUGACACUCACUCUAAAUAACCUCACUUUCUUCAGUGUUCAUUUUUCCCCAUCUCCAGACACAGUGUUGGAAUAGUAACAGAACAAGAAAAUCCUGAAGUGAAUUAAGUAAAUGCUGGCUAAAUGGCAAUAGGUUUUUCUUUGGAAAAUUUACAUCACUGGCAAUAUUUUCCUUCAACCUUGUCUAAGUAGCAUUUAUAGCAUCUCUGUUCCUUCCAAGAGGUACCAUGUUACUAAGAAAUGAAGUAGACUUGGUUGAACUUGAGAUACUUUUUAAUUUCUCAUUUAUAGCUGCUGUGUAUUUAAAGUGACCGCUAAAAAUUGGAAAAAAAGCAGGUUUCUAUGCCUGAACUCUCUAUGGGCACUUGCAGUGCUUAAGCUGCUCCUCCUUGCAAAAUCUGCACUUGCUGACACCAGUCAGAGCUCAGUAGUACUUUUAUUAAACACUGAACAACUAUGUGCACCUGCUCCUCAAUGGUUUAGUAAGGCUCUUUAAACAACCAGCAGGUUAGUUAGAUGGAUUCUUAUUUUAGUAGGGUGCUGGGCCCUUUGAUUUGACAAUUAAGUAUGGAUACUUAGGUGCAAGUUAAUUUUUUUUUAUUUUCUUCUCCCAGGAUCAGGUGUUGUUUUGUGCCACCAUAGUUUUGAUAUCUUU